rnacentral:rRNA from 1 species
UGUGGUUACAAUAGCAGAGAGGAUACACCUGUUCCCAUUCCGAACACAGAAGUUAAGCUCUCUAGCGCUGAUGG